rnacentral:rRNA from 1 species
AGUUUGAUCAUGGCUCAGAUUGAACGCUGGCGGCAGGCCUAACACAUGCAAGUCGAACGGUAACAGGAAGCAGCUUGCUGCUUCGCUGACGAGUGGCGGACGGGUGAGUAAUGUCUGGGAAACUGCCUGAUGGAGGGGGAUAACUACUGGAAACGGUAGCUAAUACCGCAUAACGUCGCAAGACCAAAGAGGGGGACCUUCGGGCCUCUUGCCAUCGGAUGUGCCCAGAUGGGAUUAGCUAGUAGGUGGGUAACGGCUCACCUAGGCGACGAUCCCUAGCUGGUCUGAGAGGAUGACCAGCCACACUGGAACUGAGACACGGUCCAGACUCCUACGGGAGGCAGCAGUGGGGAAUAUUGCACAAUGGGCGCAAGCCUGAUGCAGCCAUGCCGCGUGUAUGAAGAAGGCCUUCGGGUUGUAAAGUACUUUCAGCGGGGAGGAAGGCGAUAAGGUUAAUAACCUUGUCGAUUGACGUUACCCGCAGAAGAAGCACCGGCUAACUCCGUGCCAGCAGCCGCGGUAAUACGGAGGGUGCAAGCGUUAAUCGGAAUUACUGGGCGUAAAGCGCACGCAGGCGGUCUGUCAAGUCGGAUGUGAAAUCCCCGGGCUCAACCUGGGAACUGCAUUCGAAACUGGCAGGCUAGAGUCUUGUAGAGGGGGGUAGAAUUCCAGGUGUAGCGGUGAAAUGCGUAGAGAUCUGGAGGAAUACCGGUGGCGAAGGCGGCCCCCUGGACAAAGACUGACGCUCAGGUGCGAAAGCGUGGGGAGCAAAGGAUUAGAUACCCUGGUAGUCCACGCCGUAAACGAUGUCGACUUGGAGGUUGUCCCUUGAGGCGUGGCUUCCGGAGCUAACGCGUUAAGUCGACCGCCUGGGGAGUACGGCCGCAAUGCCUAACACUCAAAUGAAUUGACGGGGGCCCGCACAAGCGGUGGAGCAUGUGGUUUAAUUCGAUGCAACGCGAAGAACCUUACCUACUCUUGACAUCCAGAGAACUUAGCAGAGAUGCUUUGGUGCCUUCGGGAACUCUGAGAC